rnacentral:rRNA from 1 species
AAACCAACAGGGAUUGCCUUAGUAACGGCGAGUGAAGCGGCAAAAGCUCAAAUUUGAAAUCGGCCUCCAGGUCGAGUUGUAAUUUGUAGAUUGUAUCUUGAGAGCGGAUUAAAGUCUGUUGGAACACAGCGCCUUAGAGGGUGACAGCCCCGUAAAAUCUAUUCUCAUUGUAAGAUACUUUCGAAGAGUCGAGUUGUUUGGGAAUGCAGCUCUAAGUGGGAGGUAAAUUCCUUCUAAAGCUAAAUAUUGACGAGAGACCGAUAGCGAACAAGUACUGUGAAGGAAAGAUGAAAAGCACUUUGAAAAGAGAGUGAAAAAGUACGUGAAAUUGUUAAAAGGGAAGGGUAUUGAAUCAGACUUGGUGCUGUUGUUCAACUGUGUUUCGGCACGGUGUACUCAGCAGUACUAGGCCAAGGUGGGGUGUUUGGGAGUGAAAAAGAAGUAGGAACGUAACUCUUCGGAGUGUUAUAGCCUACUUUCAUAGCUCCUCAGGCGCCUCAGGACUGCGCUUCGGCAAGGACCUUGGCAUAAUGAUUCUAUACCGCCCG